AUUAUCUCAGUAUUCACCAUUUUUUUUUUUUAUUAUUUUUUAUUUUUUUAUAGGCCAUAUUUCAAUAUUAGAUUAAAAGCAGAAGUUAUAUUUUUAAACUCGUUAGCACUUAUGUGUGCAGGAGGACUAAUUUUUUUGUUUAUUUAUGUAAAAAAGAAAAAAAAAAAAAAAAAAAUAAAAUAAAUAAUCAAAUAUAUAUAACUUAAAAUGAUCAAUAUAUACAAAUACAAAAAUAAAUGGAUAUGUUUUUGAUAAAAAUAAAAUAAGCAUAAAAAUAUAUGUGUAUAUAUGCAUAGAAUAGACAGGAAAUUAUUACCUAAAAAUAUUAUAAAAUAUUUACUCAAUAGAUAUCAUAUGGACUCGUGCGAACAAAACAUAAACCAGAUUACUCCUUAUUAUAAAUUAUUAAAACAACAAUCACUUUACCCUUCAAAAAUAAAUUAUUUCCUUUAUAAAACCACAUUCCCGAAUAAACACGAACAAUUAUUCCUAUUUUGGGGCAAUGGACCAGCUAUACUAAAUUUUAUUUUUCAAACACUAUGUUUUUGUUUCUUAAUCAUAUUGUCUUGCUGGAUGUUUUUAUUAAAAGUAGAUAAUAUAACAUGGUUACAAUUAUAUAAAUACGGUAGUUUAAUUAUAUGUGGAUGUAUAUUAUUUUUUACAUUUAUAUUAAAAUAUAUUGUGUAUUAUUUUAUAAUGAUAAGUAAAACGGGUUAUUUAAUUGACACGAAGUUGUUAGAAAAGGUAUGGGAAUUUGAAAGAUCAGAUAACAUAAAGAGAAUAUCCGAAUUUAUUGAUGCUAUAAAAAUAAAGUCCACCUUACAUGCACUUAAAGAAGGAGGGGAUGUAUUUUGGAGACAGUUGUUAAUAAAAUCAAGCACAGUGCCAUCAAAUAUACAGGAAAAAAUGUUUUCCAUAUGGGUUAGUUUAGAUGAGGAAAAUAGAGGUGUUAUUGAUUCUGUAAAAAUAUUAAAAUUUUUAAAAUCUCAGGGAAUUAAUUUGAAUUCAGAAAAUGAUGUUAAAGAAUUCUUGGAAGUAUUUGAUAGAAAUAACAAAAAAGGUUUAAAUCAGGAAGAGUUUUUUGUUCUUAUUAUUAUAGUUAAACAAAUUCUUGUAGAACUUUUAGAUAUUAAUGCUGUUCAGUCUUUAUUCGAAGAAGUGUACUGCAUACCAUGGAAUUCGAUGUCGUCAAUUGACGUUAACAGUUUAAAAAAAAUAUUAUCCGAAGUAAGAAAAAGGAAAAAUUAUAGAAGCAACAUAUUAAUUAAACUUUACAAGUUUAUUUAAAUUAUUUGUAAUCUAUAAGUUUACCUUUUUCAAUUUAUUUUGUAAUUUUGUAAUUUAAAAUUCUUUUUUCUUUUUUUUUUUUAGUUAAACUUACAUUGGCCUUAUGGAAAAAUUCGUAAUCUAAUUGAUUUUGUAUGCGAAAAUAAAAAAACAAAAUAUGUAAGUGCA
rnacentral:lncRNA from 1 species